rnacentral:tRNA from 1 species
GCCGGUGUGUUGGAAUUGGUAGACGAGGCGGACUCAAAAUCCGUUGUUAGCGAUAACGUGUGGGUUCGAGUCCCACCACCGGCACCA